rnacentral:rRNA from 1 species
GACGAACGCUGGCGGCGUGCUUAACACAUGCAAGUCGAACGAAGAGCGAUGGAAGCUUGCUUCUAUCAAUCUUAGUGGCGCACGGGUGAGUAACGCGUAAUCAACCUGCCCUUCAGAGGGGGACAACAGUUGGAAACGACUGCUAAUACCGCAUACGAUCCAAUCUCGGCAUCGGGACUGGAUGAAAGGUGGCCUCUAUUUAUAAGCUAUCACUGAAGGAGGGGAUUGCGUCUGAUUAGCUAGUUGGAGGGGUAACGGCCCACCAAGGCGAUGAUCAGUAGCCGGUCUGAGAGGAUGAACGGCCACAUUGGGACUGAGACACGGCCCAGACUCCUACGGGAGGCAGCAGUGGGGAAUCUUCCGCAAUGGACGAAAGUCUGACGGAGCAACGCCGCGUGAGUGAUGACGGCCUUCGGGUUGUAAAGCUCUGUUAAUCGGGACGAAUGGUUCUUGUGCGAAUAGUGCGAGGAUUUGACGGUACCGGAAUAGAAAGCCACGGCUAACUACGUG